rnacentral:rRNA from 1 species
UACGAAGGGGGCUAGCGUUGUUCGGAUUUACUGGGCGUAAAGCGCACGUAGGCGGAUACUUAAGUCAGGGGUGAAAUCCCGGGGCUCAACCCCGGAACUGCCUUUGAUACUGGGUAUCUCGAGUCCGGAAGAGGUGAGUGGAAUUCCGAGUGUAGAGGUGAAAUUCGUAGAUAUUCGGAGGAACACCAGUGGCGAAGGCGGCUCACUGGUCCGGUACUGACGCUGAGGUGCGAAAGCGUGGGGAUCAAACAGG